ACAUCUCUCCAGCUCUGCGCAGUGUGACCUUUCCUUCUUUUUAAGAUUUGUUCAUUUUAUGUAUGAGUACACUGUCACUGUCUUCAGACGCAGCAGAAGAGGGCAUCACAUCCCAUUACAGAUGGUCAUGAGCCACCACUCAGGACCACUGGAAGAGCAGUCAAUGUUCUUAACCACUGAGCCAUCUUUCAGCCCUCCAAUGUGAUUCCCCACCACCACCAAUGUGAUCCCCCCCACACACACACACACCAAUGUGAUUCUUAACAUGAGGAAUUUUUUUUUCUUUGCAGUCUGCUGUCAUGGAUUGAAGAGAAAGGGCCUGGCUUAAAAAGAAACAGAUAUGUAAACUUCCAGUUCACUUCUGGGUCCCUGGAGGAAGUGCCAAGUGUAGGGGUCAAUAAGAACAUUUUCCUGAAAGAUCAGGAUAUAUUUGUUCAGAAGCUCUUAGGCCAGGUCUCUGCAGAGGACCUGGCUGCUGAGAAGAAGCGCAUCAUGCAUUGCCUGGGGCUGGCCAGCGACAUCCAGAAGCUUUGCCACCAGAAGAAGUGAAGAGGAAGCUUCAGAGACUUCUGAAGGGGGCCAGGGUUUGGUCCUAUCAACCGUUCACCUUUAGCUCUUACAAUUAAACAUGUCAGAUAAACACAAUGAGAAUAGUGUUAA
rnacentral:lncRNA from 1 species